rnacentral:tRNA from 1 species
GACGAGAUAGUUCAAUUGGUAGAACGGCGGCUUCCAAGCCGUAGGUUGUAGGUUCGAUGCCUGCUCUCGUCG